rnacentral:rRNA from 1 species
ACAUCGGUGACAGGUGGUGCGAUGGUUGUCGUCAGCUCGUGUCGUGAGAUGUUGGGUUAAGUCCCGCAACGAGCGCAACCCCUAUUGUUAGUUGCCAUCAUUCAGUUGGGCACUCUAGCGAGACUGCCGGUAAUAAACCGGAGGAAGGUGGGGAUGACGUCAAAUCAUCAUGCCCCUUAUGACCUGGGCUACACACGUGCUACAAUGGUUGGUACAACGAGUUGCGAGUCGGUGACGGCGAGCUAAUCUCUUAAAGCCAAUCUCAGUUCGGAUUGUAGGCUGCAACUCGCCUACAUGAAGUCGGAAUCGCUAGUAAUCGCGGAUCAGCACGCCGCGGUGAAUACGUUCCCGGGCCUU